rnacentral:lncRNA from 1 species
ACCACCCUCAGAGACUGACAGACCGAAUCAGACAGGGACCGGGAUUGUGUCACCCCAGGUGGAGUGUGUGUGUUUGCCCUUCCAGCGGUCUCGUUUUUUUCAUUACUAACUUCCUGCACAGCCAAGCUCAGCUCUUCAAGCCUGAUGUGUCACGUAUUUGUAUUUGUAUUUGUAUUUGUUCAGUAUUCCUUUUUUUUUUUUUACAUGCAAAAAGCAACAAUUUGUGAUGUUUAGUUGGAACACAUUCAGUAUUUACUUUCAUUUUUGAGUGUGGAAAGUUAGACCGGGCACUUAUUUUUCAGUUUCUUUUGUUUUGGUGCCAAAAUGUCACGUUGUAGCCAUGGCCAGAUAUCCAGUUCAUGAAUCUCCGAUCUGAAGGUGAAGACUAACAGUUAAAGUGAAAUUUAAGACACUCCCAUAAUGAGAAAUUACAAUGUCUGUGGUCUCUAUAUAUGUACUUUCUGACAUCAGGGUAUAAAUGGCACUAAUGUUGGUGAUAUUUUAGCACAGUGGUUUUUAACUCUGGUCCUGGGGCCCUACAGCACUUCACUUCAUGCAGCUCUGCUAAUGAUAUUAUAGUCUGAAUUGUGUGUAAAUAAGGGAGGCAAAAGCAUAGUGCUUUGGGUCCCCAGGAUCAGAGUUGGGAAUCAUGCCAUUAAGCACAUGUAAUGAAAGAUGUGUUGCGAAUGUUUGUGAAUGGAUCCUGUGUGUCCUUCACUAGAAAAUAAAAUGCAUCUUCCUUUCCCCGUGAGGUAUAUUGUAAGUGAUGAUAGAUUGCGGGAUUUUGCAUUUCAAAGUCUGUUACAGUUUCAGAGUUAUGUUUUGAAAAGUAAUUGCAGAAAUACACUGUUGUUAAUUUUGCAAAACGUUAAGUUAAUUUAUUGCAUUUAAAGAAAUAGUUUGUACUAAAUUUAUAAUUCUGUAAUGAUUUACUCACCCUCAUGUCAUUCUAAACUCAAAGACCUGCUGUGGACCACAAAUGGAGAUGUUUAGCAGAAUGUUCACACUUGCAGUUCAUGCAAAACGUUAUUUUGCUGCUUGUUGGAAUUAAUUAAAAUGAGCUAAUGCAUCAAGUCUUACACAUUUUUUUCCUAACGAAAAUUUGUAAGACAGAAGUUUAUUUAAUUGAUUUGCGUCAAAUGAAACUUUCUAGUACCCAGCAUGCUUUGCGUGGGAUUAGAUAAGGAGAGUGAAUUUUGAAAUUAAGUGUUAUUUUUAUGGUUUUUGAUGAG